CAUUGUCGAGACCCGAAAGAGACCGAGCAAAUUUGACAACAUGUGAUCGAAAGGUGAGGUGGCAGCGAAGCUUGCUGUCGCGAAACGCCCAUGCCGUUGCCGCGGCUUUCCUCUCCCGGAGCCGCGGCAUACUGGCUGGGUGGGAAAAAAAACCGGCGCAAUUCCGCGUCAAGGGACAUGUACGAUCCGAGCAUCUGCGGCACUCUCCCAAAUCCCUGCGGGUUUGGUGGAGUUGCCGCCGUUGCUUCUUAUGGACUGUAGGACUCUCGGCAAUGGAUAUCUUGGCUCUUGCAUCGAUGAAGAACGCAACGAAAUGCGAUACGUGGUGCGAAUUGCAGAAUCCCGUGAACCAUCGAGUUUUUGAACGCAAGUUGCGCCUGAGGCCAACUGGCCGAGGGCACGUCCGCCUGGGCGUCAUGCAUUACGUCGCUUCGUCCGCCGCCCGCAGCCAGUGCGCUGUGUUGGUGCCGGCUCGUACGCGGAGAGUGUCUCGUCGUGCUUAUGAUCGCGCGGCGGGUUGAAGAGCGGGUUUCCUUCCUCCUGGACAAGGUCGGUAAGGGGUGGAUGUGGGGUGCCGCUUGUUCGGCGCACAUUAGCGCUACCGCACCAUUGCACUGAGGAGGGUCGGCUGACAUCCUAGGCGCAGCGAACUCAGAUGGAGUGGGCGGCGCCUUGAAAUGCGACCCCAGGAUGGGCGGGAU
rnacentral:rRNA from 1 species